rnacentral:rRNA from 1 species
CAGCUAGUUGGUGGGGUAAAGGCCUACCAAGGCAUCGAUCAGUAGCUGGUCUGAGAGGACGACCAGCCACACUGGAACUGAGACACGGUCCAGACUCCUACGGGAGGCAGCAGUGGGGAAUUUUGGACAAUGGGCGAAAGCCUGAUCCAGCAAUGCCGCGUGAGUGAAGAAGGCCUUCGGGUUGUAAAGCUCUUUUGUCAGGGAAGAAACGGUGAGGGCUAAUAUCCCUUGCUAAUGACGGUACCUGAAGAAUAAGCACCGGCUAACUACGUGCCAGCAGCCGCGGUAAUACGUAGGGUGCAAGCGUUAAUCGGAAUUACUGGGCGUAAAGCGUGCGCAGGCGGUUUUGUAAGUCUGUCGUGAAAUCCCCGGGCUCAACCUGGGAAUUGCGAUGGAGACUGCAAGGCUAGAAUCUGGCAGAGGGGGGUAGAAUUCCACGUGUAGCAGUGAAAUGCGUAGAGAUGUGGAGGAACACCGAUGGCGAAGGCAGCCCCCUGGGUCAAGAUUGACGCUCAUGC